rnacentral:rRNA from 1 species
UGGGGAAUAUUGGACAAUGGGCGCAAGCCUGAUCCAGCAAUGCCGCGUGUGUGAAGAAGGCCUUCGGGUUGUAAAGCACUUUUAUCAGGAGCGAAACGCUGUCGGCUAAUACCCGGCGGAACUGACGGUACCUGAGGAAUAAGCACCGGCUAACUUCGUGCCAGCAGCCGCGGUAAUACGAAGGGUGCAAGCGUUAAUCGGAAUUACUGGGCGUAAAGCGUGCGUAGGCGGUUUCUUAAGUCUGCUGUGAAAUCCCCGGGCUCAACCUGGGAAUGGCAGUGGAUACUGGGAGGCUAGAGUGUGUCAGAGGGUGGUGGAAUUCCCGGUGUAGCGGUGAAAUGCGUAGAGAUCGGGAGGAACAUCAGUGGCGAAGGCGGCCACCUGGGACAACACUGACGCUGAGGCACGAAAAGCGUGGGGAGCAAACAGGAUUAGAUACCCUGGUAGUCCACGCCCUAAAACGAUGCGAACUGGAUGUUGGUCUCAACUCGGAGAUCAGUGUCGAAGCUAACGCGUUAAGUUCGCCGCCUGGGGAGUACGGUCGCAAGACUGAAACUCAAAUGAAUUGACGGGGUCAUAGCUGUUUCCUG